CCGAGGGGGUGGGGCUCCGGAAGUGCGUACGUUCGGGGCCUUGAGACUCGCGAGCGCGUUUUCCGGUCUGGCUGCGCCUUGCGUGUUUCGGGUCGUAGUUUGCUCUGGGAGCCCGCGAGGCUCUGGGGCGGGCCGUUGACCUGUUCUCGCUCUCAGCCCGAGCUCCUGGUUCGGUGCCGCGCGCCGGGCGUCAGUGUAGGACAGAUGCACAUAGGCCAAGGACAAAAGCACGUCUACUGGCAACCGCAGCACUGCAGAGAAGUGCGGCUAAAACAGCGCUGGGGGGGCUCUGCCCCUUCUGCUGGCGGCUCCGCGGCGGAGGGCCGGUGGCUGCGGAGACGCCGUCCUUACCCCACGACCGGGAAGCAGAUGCUACACCGCGCGGCAGCGUUGGUGCUGGAUGGGCCCUGGAGCCUGCAGUAUCCCAAGUGGAGUGCUGCCUGCAUGUCACACGUGUAAGGGUCAAACCUCUGUUCUUCUGCUUUGUUCCCGUUAAAAGCAUUCAUCAUGUUAGGUGACUGCUACUCUGGGCCUGGCCCCGUGCCACCUGCAGAAGGAGGCAAAAGGUCAAAUCCAGAAUGUGGAAUUUUCUCUUGCACACAUGAGUCAGUUAUUAGUUAGGGGCUUGAAGGGAAAAUAAAAAGUAGGACGGAUAAUAAAAGCAUAAAAACAUAAUGGAGUGGAAUGCGUAGACUUUAUUUGCAUCACGAUAGAACAAACCAACUGUAAAAAAAAAAAAAAAAAAAACACGUCUGUGUGGUUCCUGUCAAUACAAACCCAACUAGUAUGCAUGAGAACUCAGGUUCCAUCCCUGGCCCAGCAGAGUGGUUUAAGGAUCCAGCAUUGCCGUGAGCUGUGGUGUUGGUUGAAGAUGUGACUCAGAUCUGCUGUGGCUGUGGCGUAGACCAGCUCUUUCAACCCCUAGCGCCGGAAUGUCUAUAUGUCACAGGUGCAACCCUUAAAAAAAAAAAAAAAAAAAAAAAUUGGGGGGGGGGGGAAUUUAAAACAAAAAGGGU
rnacentral:lncRNA from 1 species